GAACGUAUUUAACUUCGCGUGACAAUUCAACGAGACAUGCCAAUGAGUUGACAACAGCGGAACAACAGCGCGAAGAAAUAACCACAGAAAAAUUGUCGAAUUAAAAUUUAUAAUAUUGCAAAACAAAAACAAAAAACUAUGUGCAUAAGUGUUCGCGGAAGAUAAUCUAUUGGUUUUUUUUUAAAUUGUUUAUUAUUUUAUCUGUGAUACAAAAUGGCUUCGUGGAAGUUUAUCGCUGUGUCGACGGUUUGUGUGUUUGUGUUUCUGUCGGGUAACAUCUCGGGACUGGACAAUGGCUUGGUGCUGACGCCGCCCAUGGGCUGGUUGGCCUGGGAACGGUUUAGGUGUAACACCGAUUGCAAAAACGACCCUGAAAAUUGUAUCAGCGAUCGUCUAUUCCGUACCAUGACCGAUAUCUUAGUGACCGAAGGGUAUACCGCGGCUGGGUACGAGUACAUCAACGUGGACGACUGCUGGCUGGAGCGGGAGAGGGACGAGAGAGGUAGACUAGUGCCGGACAGAGAACGGUUCCCUUACGGAAUGAAGAGUUUAGCCGAUUAUGUACACAGCAAGGGUCUGAAAUUCGGUAUUUACGAGGACUACGGUAAUUUCACUUGCGCUGGCUACCCCGGAGUCGUCGGCCAUCUUUCCGGAGAUGCGACGACCUUCGCCUCAUGGGGCGUCGACUACGUUAAGCUGGACGGGUGCUACGCCCUGCCAACGGACAUGGAUUACGGCUACCCUGAGUUCGGGAGACAGCUCAAUCUUACCGGUCGUCAGAUGGUGUACUCCUGUAGUUGGCCCGUCUAUCAGAUCUACGCUGGUCUACAGCCAAAUUUCUCGUCAAUAAUCGAGCACUGCAAUCUGUGGCGUAACUUCGACGACAUCCAGGACUCGUGGGCCUCUGUCGAGUCUAUCAUAGACUACUAUGGAAACCACCAAGACGUCAUCGUGCCCAACGCUGGGCCGGGACACUGGAACGACCCCGACAUGUUGAUCGUCGGCAACUUUGGACUAUCGUACGAGCAGAGCAAGACGCAGUUCGCGCUGUGGGCGAUCCUCGCCGCGCCGCUGCUGAUGAGCGUCGACCUGCGCACCAUCAGGCCGGAGUACAAGGCCAUACUGCAGAACAGGAAGAUCAUCGAGGUCGACCAGGACCCCCUCGGCAUACAAGGCAGGAGGAUCUACAAGCACCGCGGCAUCGAAAUCUGGUCCCGCCCCAUCCUGCCCAUCCAGCAAGGACAGUUCUACUCGUACGCCGUGGCCUUCGUCAACAGGAGGACGGACGGGACCCCCUCCGACGUCGCCGUCACGCUGAGGGAGCUGGGGCUCAGCAACCCCACCGGCUACAGGGUCGAGGACCUGUACGAGGACGUGGACUACGGCGUGCUGUCGCCGCAGACGAAAAUCAAGGUCAAGGUCAACCCCUCAGGUAGUGUGGUGAUUUUGAGGGCAGACGCGCAACCGGGCUACGCUUUCAACGCGAUAACGACGCGAACUCCGUACACGCCACUCAACGACGUCUUCCGAUUGACCAAGAAAUAGGUUACAGCGCCAUCUAUCUCCCGCCUGCGAUACUAAAUGAAAUGACGCGUGAUUGGUUUGAUGAGUUACAGUUUUUGAUUAACAGAGGGCAGUGAUGUAAAUUAUUUUUCAGAUCUGAGUAGGUAGUGUAGUCUUCGUUUUACUUUCUAUUAACAAUUUUAAAGAACAAAUCAUUUGAAGUUUACGUGUUUUUACUUUUUUUUUUAAAAAUUCAAAUUUAAUUGAGAUUUCUAAAUAAAAUCACUACGGAAUUCAGUGCAAUCAUGCAAAUAUUUAUGAAAA